AGAACCGCAUGGUUCUUGGCUGAAAGAUGGCGUAAGCUAUCGCUUUUGGAUGGACCCGCGGCGUAUUAGCUAGUUGGUGAGGUAACGGCUCACCAAGGCAAUGAUACGUAGCCGAACUGAGAGGUUGAUCGGCCACAUUGGGACUGAGACACGGCCCAAACUCCUACGGGAGGCAGCAGUAGGGAAUCUUCCACAAUGGACGCAAGUCUGAUGGAGCAACGCCGCGUGAGUGAAGAAGGCUUUCGGGUCGUAAAACUCUGUUGUUGGAGAAGAAUGGUCGGCAGAGUAACUGUUGUCGGCGUGACGGUAUCCAACCAGAAAGCCACGGCUAACUACGUGCCAGCAGCCGCGGUAAUACGUAGGUGGCAAGCGUUAUCCGGAUUUAUUGGGCGUAAAGCGAGCGCAGGCGGUUUUUUAAGUCUGAUGUGAAAGCCCUCGGCUUAACCGAGGGAAGUGCAUCGGAAACUGGGAAACUUGGAGUGCAAAGAGGACAGUGGGAACUCCAUGUGUAGCGGGUGAAAUGCGUAAU
rnacentral:rRNA from 1 species